AAAGUUUAAAGUGGCUUGUCCUUCCUGAAUAGGAGGAAGAAUUGGCGUUCUGAGGGUGUAAAUGAGAAAGAUAAAGGGUUAAAUGUCAGACUGUAUUUUUCAGAUGGCAGGGUAUUUCUGGUGAUAAGUUCUGGAGUGUGACAGUAACUGAACUGAAAUGAAGGUACAGGGAUCUAAAAUGAGAAGGGAUAAGCAGUGGGAGGCCAGGCUGGUGGCUGCUCUGUCCCUGGAUGUUGGAGCCUCCAGCUGAUUUCUCCCACCUCAAGCUCCCUUCCCAGGGCCCACUCCCACCUCCUUCUCCUCAAGCUUAGAGACUGUAGCUAUGAACUUGCCAGACACACUGUCUUAGAGUGAACGGAGCCCAGAGUAAGAGCCAAGAAAUGAAUAGAAAAAUAAAACUGAUGGCAUCACUUAAGCCGCAUUGUGAACCCUACUGCCUGAGGACAGUCUUGCUCCCUGACCUUUUCAGGCACCUGAGUCAACAAAUCGCAUUAAUGUACACAGCUAUGACUUAAUAUUAAUAAUAAGAAAACCCAAGAGAUUAUUAUUAUUGUUGAAAAUCUGUUGUAUUUGCUUCCAGUUACAUCCAAAUCCCACCUUGCAAUAGAAAAGGACUCUCCCUUCUUGGUUUCCUCUUACAAGUAGUGGGCUCAAAGCACCUAUUUUAAAGGGGUCUCAAGCUGUCGCCAGCUCACAGCAACCUCAAACUCUUGGACUUAAGCAAUCCUCUUGCCUCAGCCUCCCAGGUAGCUGGGACUACAGGUGCUUGCCACAGCACCUGGCUAUUUCUUGGUUGUAGUCAUUGUUGUUUGACAAGCCCAGGCUGGAUUCGAACCUGCCAGCUCCUGUGUAUGUGGCUGGUACCCUAGCCACUUGAGCUACAGACUCUCUCCUUUCCUGGCUUUGAUGAAGAAAGCUGCCACACUAGGAAGGCGCACAUGAUGAGGAACUGAGGGACAUCUCUAGACAAUUCCAGCCAACAUCCAGCAAGGAACUGAUGGCUUCAGUUCAACAAGCGUUGAAGAACUGAUGGCAUCAACAGCUACGUAAGUGAGCAUAGAAGUGUAUCUUUCCCACUUGAGACUUCAGAAGAGACCUCAGCGCCAGCUGACAACCUGCUUGCAGUCUUGUGAAAGACCCUGAUGCAGAAAACCCAGCUAGGCCUCACCUGGAUUCCUGACCCACAAAAACUGUGAGAUAAUAAAUAGACAUUUUUUAAGCCACUAAAUUUUGAGGUAUCCAUUACGAUAGAUGACUAAUAUACCCCUAAAUCACUGUAAUCUUAGUGUAAGAUGUAGCAUGGCUAGGGACAAAAAUCACCUCUCCCAAGGAAGAUGAUAGUGUGUCUUAUGAUAUCCCUGCAGAUACUAUCUUUGUGA